GAUAUUUAACAAGUGGUAGGCAACGAGACAUAAUCGAUAGCAUCGAAAUAACUAGCAUGACAAUGAUAGUAAUGGUAUCUGGGGAAAUGAUCAUCUUGCCUGAGAUCCCGCUUGGAAGAAGAACAACUCGGAGAAGUCGGCAAACCAACGUAGUCGAACGGGUCCUCACAUUCCGACACGCUUGCGGAACUCUAUCGAGA
rnacentral:lncRNA from 1 species